rnacentral:rRNA from 2 species
AACUGACGGGUGAGUAAUGCCUAGGAAUCUGCCUGGUAGUGGGGGACAACGUUUCGAAAGGAACGCUAAUACCGCAUACGUCCUACGGGAGAAAGUGGGGGAUCUUCGGACCUCACGCUAUCAGAUGAGCCUAGGUCGGAUUAGCUAGUUGGUGAGGUAAAGGCUCACCAAGGCGACGAUCCGUAACUGGUCUGAGAGGAUGAUCAGUCACACUGGAACUGAGACACGGUCCAGACUCCUACGGGAGGCAGCAGUGGGGAAUAUUGGACAAUGGGCGAAAGCCUGAUCCAGCCAUGCCGCGUGUGUGAAGAAGGUCUUCGGAUUGUAAAGCACUUUAAGUUGGGAGGAAGGGCAGUAAGUUAAUACCUUGCUGUUUUGACGUUACCAACAGAAUAAGCACCGGCUAACUUCGUGCCAGCAGCCGCGGUAAUACGAAGGGUGCAAGCGUUAAUCGGAAUUACUGGGCGUAAAGCGCGCGUAGGUGGUUCGUUAAGUUGGAUGUGAAAGCCCCGGGCUCAACCUGGGAACUGCAUCCAAAACUGGCGAGCUAGAGUAUGGCAGAGGGUGGUGGAAUUCCUGGAGCAGGUUGCC